rnacentral:misc_RNA from 1 species
UCCGGCUUAUCACCGGCAGUUUCUUUAGAGUGCCCAACUAAAUGGUGGCAACUAAAGACGAGGGUUGCGCUCGUUGCGGGACUUAACCCAACACCUCACGGCACGAGCUGACGACAGCCGUGCAGCACCUGCGCAGGCUCCCUUGCGGGUCGCUCGGGUUUCCCCUCGCUACCACCUGCAUGUCAAGUCCGGGUAAGGUUCUUCGCGUUGCAUCGAAUUAAACCACACGCUCCGCUGCUUGUGCGGGCCCCCGUCAAUUCCUUUGAGUUUUAGCCUUGCGGCCGUACUCCCCAGGCGGAGUGCUUAAUGCGUUAGCUGCGGCACAGAGAGGGUUGAAGACCUCCCCACACCUAGCACUCAACGUUUACGGCUGGGACUAC